rnacentral:rRNA from 1 species
UUCGCAAUGCCCGAAAGGGUGACGAUGCGACGCCGCGUGAGCGAAGAAGGCCCUAGGGUUGUAAAGCUCUGUCGAGGGUUAUGAAAUAUAGAUGGGUUAAUACCCCAUUUAUUUGACAAAAGCCCAAAGGGAAGCCACGGCUAACUCUGUGCCAGCAGCCGCGGUAAUACAGAGGUGGCGAGCGUUGUUCGGUAUUAUUGGGCGUAAAGAGCACGUAGGUGGUUUUGUAAGUCAGGUGUGAAAGCCUUCUGUUCAAAGGAAGAACGGCAUCUGAAACUGCAGAUCUUGAGUGUAGGAGGGGAGAGUGGAACUUCUGGUGGAGCGGUGAAAUGCGUAGAUAUCAGAAGGAACGUCGGCGGCGAAAGCGACUCUCUGGCCUAUUACUGACACUGAGUGUGCGAAAGUUAGGGGAGCAAACGGGAUUAGAUACCCCGGUAGUCCUAACCGUAAACGAUGGGCACUAAGUAGAGGGGUUUU